UGGUUGUUUUUUUGUUGUUUU
rnacentral:sRNA from 1 species